GGCCCGGUGGCAGAGUGGUUAUGCAGCGGUUUGCAAAACCGUGGACAUCGGUUCAAUUCCGGUCCGGGCCU
rnacentral:tRNA from 1 species